rnacentral:tRNA from 1 species
GCCGGAGUGGUGAAAUUGGUAGACACGCCGGAUUCAAAAUCCGGUGCCCUUAAAAGCGUGCCGGUUCAAGUCCGGCCUCCGGUACCA